UUGGCGGCGGCGGCUUCUUCCUGCUCCGGCGGCCCUCAGCCUCCUGCUGGCGGUGACAGCGACGGCGCGGCCAGAGCGCCGCCGCGCCGCGGUGCACCAUGGGAAGGCGCCCGGAGGACCGGCGGGGCGAGGAGCGGAGCCGCGCCGAGCGGAGCGCCCGCAGGGUUACGCGCGGCUCGAGGUGCGUGGAGAAGAGGUGUCGUCGGUGCCGGCGGAGACGGUACGGCGAUGCUGGUGGGAACUACGGUGCUGUUCCCCCGCUGGGAAGCAGCCGGCAACGUGCGCGAAGGGGCAGCUGCCGGAAGUCCCGACCCUCCGCGAUCGCCGUGUCCGCCACGACCCCAAACGACCUGGGGACGAGCAGAGGCCGCGUUUCCCUGACGUGCAGCCGUUCCUCGGAACAGCUCUGCACCCAAAGCGUCUGCAUCUGCGCGGCUCUGUGUGGCAGCUCCUCACGCAGCCCUCAGCUCCAACCGUGCGAGGCUUCGCCAUGGCUGUAGUUGGCACUGGGGGGCCCGCGCCUCGAGUGCUGUGCUCAGUGUUGGGCCUCUCACUACAAGAAGUACGCUGGGGCCCUGGAUUGUGUCCAGAGAAGGGCAGUGGAGUUGUGAAGGAUCUGAGAACACAUCUGAGGGAACUGGGAUUGUUCAGCCUAGAGAAGAGGAGGCUCGAGGGAGACCUUAUCACUGUCCUGCUCCCUAAAAGGAGGCUGUGGCAAGGUGGAGGUUGGCCUCUCCUCCUGAAUAACAGCAAUAGGCAUUAAGAUAUGCUAGGGAAGUUCAGAUUGGAUGUUAGGAAACAUUUCUUCUCAGAAGGAGUGGUGGUGCAGUGGCACAGGCUGCCCAGGGAAGUGGUGGAGUCACCAUCCCCGGAGGUGUUCAAGAACUGUGGAGAUGUGGCACUGAGGGAUGUGAUGGGGAUGGUCUGGUGGUUUGUCUGUGAUCACAGAGGUCUUUUACAACUUUAGCAGUCCUAUGAUUGCCCCAGCCUGCAUGCCCACUGGGACCCAGCCAGCAGUGUGCAUGGGACAGCAGCCAUGGGAUGCCUUGGUAUCCAGACAGAAAUCCAAAAUCAGCAGACUGUCAUCUCUGUGAUCACGGUGCUCUCCCUGACUCCAAACAACGUGGGGAACUGCGGGAGACCAGAUUUCUUCAGGUUGCUUGGAACAGCUCUGCACCUGAAGCAUCCACAUCUCCACAACUUUGUGUCCUGGUUCCUCAUGAGGCCUUCAGCUUCUUUCUCUUCUGGAGCUUACAAACACUCCCGUGUUUCUCUAAAUAAAGUCUUUAGCCCAACGCCACGCUUAAACACGUGCUUAACUAAAUUGCUUGAUGUCACUUGCUUAUAAUUAAGCAUGUGCUUAAGUGCUCUGCUGGAUGAAAGCCAGAAUCCACACAAGCUCUAUUGGGUGAAAUUUACCAGCUUCACUAGGCUUAGCUUUGUGACUCACUCAAUCAGCAGCAGCCCAAAGUGUUUUGCCACAGGCUUAGUUGUUCCCAGGUUGUCCUACAGGAUUGCCUUGUCCCCACCACAGGGCUUACAUCCUUUGUUGAGUCCUGUUAGGAUGAGGAUGCAUCUGCCUGGUGAGUGAGCAAUACUCAAUUGCUUCAUGUAGGGCUUCUAGUUCCUUUUAACGAUGUGCCUUAAUAAGAUUCUGCAGCCCUGUGGAGGUCAUAGAUGGUGCCAUUUAGUUAUGGUGUAAUAAACUGCAUUAAGAAAGAGUCGAUGACAUGAAGACCCAGUUUGAAGAUCUGCCCUGACUUUAUGCAAUAAGUAUAUUUCAAAAUAAUUGCACGGACUCUGCAUGAACAAAGGAAGGAGUUAAUAAAAUGUGGCUACAGCUCAUGCAGUUGUUUAGUUCUACAUAAGUACAAGAAGCGUCAUUAACCCGCUUGCUGAAUAAUCACAGAAUCACACACAGAAUUGCAAAGGGUGGAAGGGACCUUUGGAUGUCACCUGGUCUAAGCCUCUACUAAUGAAUCGUGGAAUGGCUUGGGUUGGAAAGGAUCUCAAGGACCAUGAAGCUCCAGCCCUCUGCUGCAAACAGGGCCACCAAGCUCCAUAUCUAAUACCAGACCAGGCUGCUCAGUGCCCCAUCCAACCUGGCCUUGAACACCUCUAGGGCCAGGGCAUCCCACAACCUCUCUAAGCAGUCUGUUCCAGCACCUCACCAUUCUUGGUAAAGAACUUCUCCCUGAUAUCCAGCCUAAAUCUUCCCUCCCUCAACUUAAAACCAUUUCCCCUUGUCCUGCCAUUAUCUGUCCUCGUAAAGAGUUGAAUCCCCUCCUGUUUAUAGGCUCCCUUUAGGUACUGAAAGGCUGCAGGGUGACCUAAUUGCAGCUUUUCAGUACCUAAAGGGAACUUUCUUUUUUCCAGGCUGAAUAAGCCCAGAUCGUUCAGCCUGUCUUCAUAGGGGAGGUGCUCCAGUCCCCUGAUCAUCUUUGCAGCUCUCCUCUUGACCCUCUCCAACAGCUCUGUCUUUCUUGUUCUGGGGGCUCCACACCUGGACACAGUGCUCCAGAUUGGGCCUCACAAGUGCAGAGUAGAGAGGGACAAUCACCUCCCUGUCCCUGCAGGCCACCCCUCUUCUGAUGGAGCCCAGGAUACCAUUUGCUUUCCAAGCUCCAAAAGCACGCUGCUGGCUCAUGUUAAGUUUUUCAUCCACCAGAACCCCCAAGUCCUUCUCUGCAUAGCUACUUUUGGGGAUUGCUCCUUCCAAUCUGUCUGUACACCUGGGAUUCCUCCAGGCUUUAUAAAGCUUUUAAGUUUCCAAAAAUAGAGUUUUAGAAAGUGAAGGAAGCUGUACACAUACAAAGCUUGAUUUUUUUUCCCUUCAAAGACAAUUAAUUUGGUGAUUGCAUUCAUUUAUACCUGUUUAAAAAAAAAUAUAUAUAUAUAUCUUUAGAAUUUCGUUAAGUCUGAGUCAGGAAGUUCAGCACAAAAACCUCUUUUUAAAAGGCAUGGAGCAAUUACAGCUUUCUGCAGGGUGAGCACAAGCCUUUCUCUGAAGACGCAUCAAUUAGAACCUGCUUUUCAAAAAUUUUAUUUAGUAAUUAGCAGUAUAAUAUGAAGAAGACUGUUGUAUUUAAAGCAAAGAAGUAAGACUCAUCAUACUUGGUUUUUAAACGCAUUCAGGGAUGGGGACUCAACCACCUCCCUGGGGAGCCUAUUUCAGUGCUUUAAGAGUCCCACUCUUUCAAACGAAUGCAACUGGUGAAAAACUGCAAAUAUCCCAUUUAAUUACAUGAAGCUAUCAGAUGCUAAAGCAGAAAUAAAACCAAAUGCCUUCUUCAAUUUCUCUCCCCCUCAAUCUGCUGUAGCCCUAGUUAAUGUUAGUUUGCGCAAGUGUUAUAAUGAACAGUGCUUCAGAAGGGCCUAGACGAACACCGGAGUUUUCAACAUGAGCUGUCGUCUGGAACCAAUUGCUAGUAAAAGAUUGAGAAUCUUCCAUCCAGUUUUUCAAUUCAGAUAUCUCACCAGGGAUUUAACUGGCACAAAUACUCAAUGCUGAAAAUUAAAUGAGUCCAUUGUGUGAAUAUCAACUCA